rnacentral:lncRNA from 13 species
GAUAAAGUUUAGCUAAUGAACAGGAUAGCAGGUAACAGAAACAAGGAGGUCAGGCUUUGCUUCCUAGCGACAUACUGGUGAUGUCAUCUGUGAGUGAGGGCCUCCCACACAGCUGCUGUUCUCUGACUGCUCAGAAAAUUAUCUCUCUAGAAGGCCAACUUAAUCAUAUGACUUUCCUGCAAAAGAAAAAAGAAAAGAAAACCGCUUCACCGGCUUUGCCCUUGGGAUAAAAUACAAAAUUCUUAAUGUGACCUGUAAUUCUCACAUCGCUACUUUUUAUCCCUGUGGAUGAAAUGGCUACUGCAGCCUAAUGCACCACUCCAGAAUUCCGCGGUUUAAAAUCACGGCUACGUAUUUCCCACCGAGUCUAUGAGUCAGCUGGCAGCCCUUCCCGUGGGGGCUGGAUGUGCUGAUCUCAGCUGCUCAUGCGUGAGUCUGUCACUGAGGGGUGAGCGGGAGCUGGCUGGCCUAGGAUGGCGUUGGCUUGUGUCACUGGCCUCUGCUGGGCAGAACUGAGAGAAACGGAGAGGGAAGAAGCGCACAGGCCUUUCGAGGCUGAGGCUCAGAAGGGUUCCGUGCUCACCAUGGCCUGUUGAGGUGAGCCGAGAUGGCGCCAUUGCACUCCAGCCUGGGUGACAAGGGCGAAACUCCGUCUCAAAGUCUUUGACCUGUUGGUCAAAGCCAGGCCAGCCCGGUGUCAGCAGCGGGGUGGCUGGAGGGGUUUAGACUCCAACGCCUGAGGACAGAAGCUGCAAGUCAAAGUGAGAAGGCCACAAGUCCCAGGAGGGUGCAGAGGUGGGUGCGUCUGCAAUCUGCCCCGCUUAGCAAGCACCUCUGCAGCUCCUGCAUUCCUCCAGCCCGGCCUCUACCCUGCACCCACCGUCUGUGCUCCCUCCCCCGCGAGAACCCUCUCGUCUGUCCUGGCCACGCAGUGACAGUCACCUCCUCAAGGAAGCCUCCUUGGCUGCCCUGGAGCCGAUGAGUCCCCGCUGCUCCUUAGAGGCCAACAUGCCGCUCUCCUUCACAGAACUCGACAGAAUCCUAUUAGAAUACUGGCUCGCUUAAUUGUGCGUCUAGUGUCUGCCUCCCCUGCUCACCAGAAUGCAAGUUUAUGGAGCGAGGGCACAUGGGCAUCGUUGGCAUAUGUGCUCUGACCUGUAGUGAGAGCUGAGCCACUGUGUGCACUGUUACAACCUGAGUUAAUGAAGAAGGGACACCAGUUAGCACAGGUAGACCAUAAACCUUGCUCGCUCUUUUUUUUUUUUUGGGCAUCCUGAAUUUUUAUUUGCUCAAUCCAGUCACCUACUUUUUUUUUUAAUUUUUUUAUUUUUUAGAGGGAAAAAGAGAAAAAGAAGGGGAAAAAAAGAAAAAGAGGGAAAAAGGAAUAUUACUUCAUUCCUAAAAUGGGUUUCAAUAAUGGCCGAUCAAUAUUUUGAGUGUUUAAAGUGGUUAAUGCAUAUUUUAUGUGUUUAAAAUGGAGACCUCUAUUGUGUUUAUUUGUUCUGGCUCUGAGUUCA